rnacentral:rRNA from 1 species
UACGAAGGGGCUAGCGUUGCUCGGAAUACUGGGCGUAAAGGCGCGUAGGCGGCACUGUUAGUCAGGCGUGAAAGUCCUGGGCUCAACCUGGGAACUGCGCUUAAGACUGGAGUGCUUGAGGAUGGAAGAGGGUCGUGGAAUUCCCAGUGUAGAGGUGAAAUUCGUAGAUAUUGGGAAGAACACCGGUGGCGAAGGCGGCGACCUGGUCCAUUACUGACGCUGAGGCGCGAUAGCGUGGGAGCAACAGGAU